CUGAUCUUGUAGCUGAUGAAACACUGAGCCCCUUGGAACAUGCCAUGUUUUCUUCCACUCCUCCUCCCCACUAGUUCCAAAUUGCUAUAAAAUUGGCUCUUAAUGCAAGGCAGCCAUGAAAUAGGGCAGCACAUGGGGACCAUGCCCUGUGUCAUCAGGCACCUGCAGUUUGGCAGUUGAUGCUGGAGAAGGGUCCUGGCAGAGAAGCGUGUCCAGGAGAUCUUGGACUUCACUGAUUCUCCUGCCAGCUAUGUGCCACCAUGUCCCGACAUCACUGUAUCCCAACGCUGCUGUUUCCCAACGCCACCACAUCCCAACGUCAUCAUAUCCCAACGCCACUGCACCUUCACAUCUCCAUUUCACUGCAUCUCAGUGCUACCGUAUCCCAAUGCCAUUGUAUCCUCAUGUCAUCGUAUCCCAACACCACCGUAUCCCAAUGCCAUCAUACCUCCAUAUCAUUGUAUCCCAGUCAUCAUAUCCCAACACCACAUCCCAACAUCAUCAUAUCCCAACGCCACUGCACCUUCACAUCUCCAUUUCACUGCAUCUCAGUGCUACCGUAUCCCAAUGCCAUUGUAUCCUCAUGUCAUCGUAUCCCAACACCACCGUAUCCCAAUGCCAUCAUACCUCCAUGUCAUUGUAUCCCAGUCAUCAUAUCCCAACACCACAUCCCAACAUCAUCAUAUCCCAACACCUUCAACGUAUCUCAGUGCCACUGUAUCCCAACAUCACCAUAUACAUCAGUGUCACCACAUCCCAGUGUUGUUGUAAUCCAA
rnacentral:lncRNA from 1 species